rnacentral:rRNA from 1 species
AUUGAACGCUGGCGGCAGGCCUAACACAUGCAAGUCGAACGAGUGGCGGACGGGUGAGUAAUGUCUGGGAAACUGCCCGAUGGAGGGGGAUAACUACUGGAAACGGUAGCUAAUACCACAUAACAUAGUGUGUGCCCAGAUGGGAGUAGCUAGUAGGUGGGGUAAUGGCUCACCUAGGCGACGAUCCCUAGCUGGUCUGAGAGGAUGACCAGCCACACUGGAACUGAGACACGGUCCAGACUCCUACGGGAGGCAGCAGUGGGGAAUAUUGCACAAUGGGCGCAAGCCUGAUGCAGCCAUGCCGCGUGUAUGAAGAAGGCCUUCGGGUUGUAAAGUACUUUCAGCGAGGAGGCGUUACUCGCAGAAGAAGCACCGGCUAACUCCGUGCCAGCCGCCGCGGUAAUUC